UUCCGGUUGAUCCUGCCGGACCCGACUGCUAUUUGGGUGAGGAUAAGCCAUGCGAGUUGAAUGGGAAACCUAAAAAUCCCAUGGCAAACUGCUCAGUAACACAUGAUCAACUUACCCUAUAGAGGAAAAUAACCUCGGGAAACUGAGGAUAAUGUUCCAUAGUUGAAUUGGCUUGGAAAAGUUUUUCAAUAAAAGGGAUAAGGAAAAUGGUUCUUAUCUGCUAUAGGAUAGGAUCGUGCUCGAUUAUGGUUGUUGGUGAGGUAAAGGCUCACCAAGCCGAUAAUCGAUAGGGGCCGUGAGAGCGGGAGCCCCGAGAUGGGUACUGAGACAACGACCCAGGCCUUACGAGGCGCAGCAGGCGCGAAACCUCCGCAAUACACGAAAGUGUGACGGGGUUACCCAAAGUGUUCUAUUUAGAACUGUGGUAGGUGAGUAAUGUUCCCUACUAGAAAGGAGAGGGCAAGGCUGGUGCCAGCCGCCGCGGUAAAACCAGCUCUUCAAGUGGUCGGGAUAAUUAUUGGGCUUAAAGUGUCCGUAGCCGGUUUAGUAAGUUCCUGGUAAAAUCGGGUAGCUUAACUAUCUGUAUGCUAGGAAUACUGCUAUACUAGAGGGCGGGAGAGGUCUGAGGUACUACAGGGGUAGGGGUGAAAUCUUAUAAUCCUUGUAGGACCACCAGUGGCGAAGGCGUCAGACUGGAACGCGCCUGACGGUGAGGGACGAAAGCCAGGGGAGCGAACCGGAUUAGAUACCCGGGUAGUCCUGGCCGUAAACGAUGCAUACUAGGUGAUGGCACGGCCAUGAGCCGUGUCAGUGCCGUAGGGAAACCGUUAAGUGUGCCGCCUGGGAAGUACGGUCGCAAGGCUAAAACUUAAAGGAAUUGGCGGGGGAGCACCACAAGGGGUGAAGCCUGCGGUUCAAUUGGAUUCAACGCCGGG
rnacentral:rRNA from 1 species